rnacentral:rRNA from 1 species
UGGGGAAUAUUGCCCAAUGGGCGAAAGCCUGAUGCAGCAACGCCGCGUGAGGGACGACGGCCUUCGGGUUGUAAACCUCUUUUAGCAGGGAAGAAGCGAAAGUGACGGUACCUGCAGAAAAAGCACCGGCUAACUACGUGCCAGCAGCCGCGGUAAUACGUAGGGUGCAAGCGUUGUCCGGAAUUAUUGGGCGUAAAGAGCUCGUAGGCGGUUUGUCACGUCUGCUGUGAAAACCCGAGGCUCAACCUCGGGCUUGCAGUGGGUACGGGCAGACUAGAGUGCGGUAGGGGAGAUUGGAAUUCCUGGUGUAGCGGUGGAAUGCGCAGAUAUCAGGAGGAACACCGAUGGCGAAGGCAGAUCUCUGGGCCGUAACUGACGCUGAGGAGCGAAAGCAUGGGGAGCAAACAGGCUUAGAUACCCUGGUAGUCCAUGCCGUAAACGUUGGGAACUAGAUGUGGGGACCAUUCCACGGUCUCCGUGUCGUAGCUAACGCAUUAAGUUCCCCCGCCUGGGGAGUACGGCCGCAAGGCUAAAACUCAAAGGAAUUGAC